CUUCCUACCAACAAUAUCAGGUCAUCCAAAGCAAUGAUUCUAUUGGACAUACAGAUACAAGAGUAUGACGUCUAUGCACUGCCAGUAAUGUAUGUUCUCUCAAUGUACAGUAGCCGUAAAAGGAGGCGGUAUCAGUUUGAAGCUCCACCAUAGAUUUAGGUUUUAAACGCAUCAUAUUUACAUUCCACAUUAUUCAAGUCUGUAAGAUAACUUAUAUAAUACUUCAUAUGAAGUUCAAUGAAGUAUCUGAGGCACUUACACCAACUUUAACCAUAAUCAAGUACAAUAGAAAAUCCCAGGUAUUUUAAAGCUUAAAUAACAUAAACGAGAAGUAGUAGUCAGA